AUCCCAUGGACAGAGGAGCCUGGAGGGCUGCAGUCCAUGAGAUAACGAAAGAGACACAAUUGAGUGACUAAAACGACAACAGCAUCCUCACUGGUAACCACAAGUUUGUUCUCUAAAUCUGUCAGCCUGCUGCUUUUCCGUUAUAGUCACUACUUUGUUCUGUUUUCCUCAGUGUCUUUUUUAACGUUAACCAUGUUUGAUUUGGGAUAGAAAAACCAGUGGAGCAUAGAGCAUGUGGUAAGAGAUGGCUUGCUCAAUACUUUCUCUAAUUUUUCUGUGAAAUGGAACAUUGUCUUCUCCCACCUUCCUUUCUGGAUGGAGAGCCAUGAGAUUUUUCACAUUUUUCACCAGCAGUCUUGCAAGAUGGGAAUUAUUAUUCGCAGGGAAUUAUUUUAUAGAUGAAAAUACUUCAGUUGGCCUGUAGUUUCGGAGUUAAGUGAUUGCUGGGUAAGUGACUUGCAUUAGUGGAUCAGGCCCAGUUAAUGCACGUGUGUGCCUCUCUGAAAAUGAAAGUUGAAAAAUUGAAUUUGUUCCUUGGUAAUUUGAUUUGUAGGAAGUGGGGAACAAAGGAUUCCAAACAGGGCUUUUAAAAUCAGUUCUAAUUAAUUGUGUGUGCAGAGGCAUCUGUGGAGAUGGGGAGGCAAUUAGUCUAAUUAUAUUUAAAAUACAGUUGCAUGCCUCAACAGACCCUCACCCCCGUGGGCCUAUCUUUCUCUGAUUUCUCUUUUAGGCAAUCAGUGGACUUUUUGGCCAUUAAGCAUGACCUGGUCAGACUCUGUGGAGCAGAAGAGUGACAGGCUGCAGAGGAGAAGGGCUCGUUCCCUCCUGCUCUGUGAUCACGAGUGCCCAGCACACCCAGUUUGGAGUAAUCUAAAAGUGAGUCCGGAUCGUCCCUGGUAGCUCAAUCGGUAGAGAAUCUGCCUGCAGUGCAGAAGACCCGGGUUUGAUCCCUGGUUUGGGAAGGUCCCCUGAAGAUGGAAGUGGCAACCCACUCCAGUAUUCUUGCUGGACAAUUCCAUGGACAGAGGAGCCUGGCGGGCUACAGUCCAUGGGGUCAUGAAGAGUCAGACACGACUGAGUGACUAAACCACCCAGAAGUGAGUCCUGUUCUGCACAUUAUGAGCUGAUUUGAGUUUCAGAGCAAAACUUGAGGAAGUAGACCCUUGUCUGACAACGUUCUCUUGGCAUGAAGGACUCGGUUGCUGGCCAGGGGGAGAGGCUGGGGCCACCUGGACUUCUGAAGGCCUUUUAUACCCACCACGUCUUCAACUGCCGCAAUUGCGGUGGGUCUGACACCCCUGACAAAACUGUGUUUUUCUUUCUUUUCGAUGUAAGCACUUGGUGUUUGCACAGGAGAAGGAACCAAAGACAUUUUCUGCCUUUUCAUUAAAAACUAACAGUCCACUUUUCUCUUCCAUACAUUGGAUUUUAUGGGAAGAACUGUGCUAGGUGGUCUUCUGCAAAUACUCCCCUACUGCCCUCCCUUUGGUUUCUGGUGGCAUUAAAAGUGAUUUAUGAAUUACAUUUUUGUUUUAUAGGAUAUCCUGCCAUUACAAAAUGGCAGUCUUUAUUACUGACCUACCACAGCGAUUUUGCUUUUUAUUUCAGCCGCAUUUGCUGUGUUUCUGACCACAUUAUUUGUAGCAGAAACUGAGGCUGACUACCAUUGCCGUAUUGAUAGCUGGACCGUGUGGUUUGCUCCUUGCAGGCUUUCUCCCACAAGAGUGGCAUGUUGA